rnacentral:rRNA from 1 species
UUAGAUACCCUGGUAGUCCACGCUGUAAACGAUGUCGAUUUGGAGGUUGUGCCCUUGAGGCGUGGCUUCCGGAGCUAACGCGUUAAAUCGACCGCCUGGGGAGUACGGCCGCAAGGUUAAAACUCAAAUGAAUUGACGGGGGCCCGCACAAGCGGUGGAGCAUGUGGUUUAAUUCGAUGCAACGCGAAGAACCUUACCUACUCUUGACAUCCAGAGAACUUUCCAGAGAUGGAUUGGUGCCUUCGGGAACUCUGAGACAGGUGCUGCAUGGCUGUCGUCAGCUCGUGUUGUGAAAUGUUGGGUUAAGUCCCGCAACGAGCGCAACCCUUAUCCUUUGUUGCCAGCGGUUCGGCCGGGAACUCAAAGGAGACUGCCAGUGAUAAACUGGAGGAAGGUGGGGAUGACGUCAAGUCAUCAUGGCCCUUACGAGUAGGGCUACACACGUGCUACAAUGGCAUAUACAAAGAGAAGCGACCUCGCGAGAGCAAGCGGACCUCAUAAAGUAUGUCGUAGUCCGGAUUGGAGUCUGCAACUCGACUCCAUGAAGUCGGAAUCGCUAAUAAUCGUAGAUCAGAAUGCUACGGUGAAUACGUUCCCGGGCCUUGUACACACCGCCCGUCACACCAUGGGAGUGGGUUGCAAAAGAAGUAGGUAGCUUAACCUUCGGGAGGGCGCUUACCACUUUGUGAUUCAUGACUGGG